CUUCAACAAUCCACCACUAUGUCAACAGCGACUGCAUCUCCUACAUUAACAAUUUCUACAACAACCACAGCAUUGCCAAAAAUUCAGACUUCUACAACGACAAGUGCUUCAACAACAUCCACCACUAUAU